ACAGAGGGCGCUAUGUCGGCAGGUGUGGCGUUCGUUCGGGGCAGAUGCGUCGGCGGUGACGUUGAAUUUGCUCCAGUUACUGAGACAGAGAGUGGCGGGAACAAGGGUACUUGGGAUGUUAAAAAGCAAACUCUCCUAAUGACCCCCGGGAUCUAUCAAGAGGACCCGUUCUCCCCAGAACCAACAGAAUGACACACUAAUCAUGUGAGUCUCAGUAAUUCCUAGGGUUCCCUUUUGACAGGUUAGUUACCAGAAAGUACAGUAUUAACAAAGCACGUCACUAGUGCAACCUGCGUCAUGAGGUCCCCACGGCAACCAGUGACGCUCCAACGUUAAUUUCAAGCCCGAGGUAUGUGGUAAUCUGGUGGUCAUACCAAUGUAUCGCUGGACAUCCCAAUGACCCCCUUCAAUGGUGGAAGACACUGUGAUAUGUGUAAUUAUUGGAAGAAACAAGUGUUUCGAGACAGCCGUUACAAACAAUGAAACUAACGCAGUCCAUCAUUUGAGGGGGCUAUAGCUGGAAUGUUUAUAGUGGCAA